CACCACCACCGGCUUUUGUCACUGUUUUGUUUUUUAUCUUAUUUUGGUGCCAUUUCAGUCCAUUGUCUCUCUGCAGACUGCCCUUCGAGAAGCACUGACAUACUCAAGACUGUCCCUUAUGCCAUCUUCACAGUCCAGAAACAUCUUCAGUUACCAAUUUGUCUGAGCAUUUGGAAAGAAAAGUUUGUCUUGAAACAACCCACAUCUGUAAAAAACAAUGCAAAGGUUGGCUGCAAGAACGACCCACAUCUAGGCACGGGAAAUGGCCAUGCUGCUGAACUGCAUACUUUAAUCUCAGUGCUGGGAAGCCGGACAUCCAGGCUCAGGAUGCAGUCCCGGACACUAGUUCUGGGCUGGCUUCUGCCAUUUCAUUAGGUCUGGACCUUGAACACCUCUCCAAACGUCCCUGGGACUCACGCUUUGCAUUUGUAAAUUGGAAGUUUGACCUCAUGAUCUCUCGGCAUCCAUGCUUCUGCAGAUGCUUACUUGGGCUUUAUGAUACAGCCGCAGACUGACUGCUAACACAAAGAUAGACAAGGAAAAUCAGAAUCGUGGCCUACGAUAAUACAAGAAAGGCCAGCAUCUGUACACUGAAGUUCAGCCAUCUUCUCCACGGUUGUGUUGUUGUUUUCUGUCUUUAUAGUCACAGAAAGAAGAGCAGGAGGCACCAAGAGCUGCCGCAUGCCUAACUCAGGGACAACCGGGAAGAUGCCCUACCAUCCACUAACUUCUGCUUCAUUUUUAGACUUUUAAGGGUACAGCACUCCAUAACCACCCGAGACAACCUUUCCUUAGCGAUGGAAGACUGCAGUGGCUUGCAAGGUCCACCACUCUGAGCGAUCCUCUCAUAUCUCAUAUUUUACAUUAUUUUUUUUUUUAACAAAGUACACUGUCACAGAGCUUAUACUAAAGGAUCAAUAUUCGGAUUCCUUUUUCACAGUUGCUUUUCUUUCCACAAUAACUUCCAUUUCUGAAACAUGGGCAAAGCAAUUUCUCAUGUUCUUUGUCCCCUUCCUUGUAAAAAUGGCCGUAUUUGUUGUAAAUGUAAACUAUCUAAAACAUUCUUUGGAAAUUCAUUUUAAAAUUACUGGCAUACAAGUCUAAUAGGCCUUGUGUUAUAUGUAAGAAAAGAAGGGAGAUAAUAGACAGACAAAAUUAUACACUGUCAAAGUUAGAAAAGACAAUAGGCAAUAUGGAAAUCAAUGUUUUUUUUCCCAAUUGCUGUUAGAAUAGUUUAAUGGGUCUUGAAAUGGCUUUAAUGUGACAACCAGUAUUUUGUGAAUGUAAUGGAAUAGAAAAUAUCUGAGUAUAUUAUUAUACCUAGUAAAGUUUUGUUUAGGCAAGUUUUGACACACUUAAAAUAUAUCAAAGCAACUGAAGUGUGUGAACAAGUGUGCACGGUAGACAAGCAUAUUCAUUUAUGUAAGCAUGAUUAUUUAUGAUUGAUUAUUUUGAUGUCUGUUUAAUUUAGAAAUAGUCUAUGAAAAAUGAAAAUUGACUGGAAAACUAUUAAAAAUUUAUCGAGUGUCUAAAUGAAA